AGUGAACGCUGGCGGUAGGCCUAACACAUGCAAGUCGAACGAGUGGCGGACGGGUGAGGAAUCCAUAGGAAUCUACUCUGUCGAGGGGGAUAACGUAGGGAAACUUACGCUAAUACCGCAUACGAUUGAAUGAGCAGAUGUCGGAUUAGCUAGUUGGCGGGGUAAAGGCACACCAAGGCGACGAUCCGUAGCUGGUCUGAGAGGAUGAGCAGCCAAACUGGAACUGAGACACGGUCCAGACUCCUACGGGAGGCAGCAGUGGGGAAUAGUGGACGAGGGGCGCAAGCCUGAUCCAGCAAUACCGAGUGUGUGAAGAAGGCCUUCGGGUUGUAAAGCCCUUUUGUUGGGAAGGCGGUACCCAAAGAAUAAGCACCGGCUAACUUCGUGCCAGCAGCCGCGGUAAUAC
rnacentral:rRNA from 1 species